CAGUUCUACCGCAGGAGUGAGGGCAUGGGUGCUAAGGUCCGUGCCCGAGAGGAGAAGAAUCCGGACCACCUGCUAAGGUCCCGAAAUGACAGCUAAGUUAAACUAACGAAGUCUGACUGCUAAGACAGCUAGGAUGUUGGCUUGGAAGCAGCCAUUCAUUUAAAGAGUGCGUAACAGCUCACUAGUCGAGGAGUCGGGCGUGGAUAAUAAUCGGGUAUUAAGUUGUCUACCGAAGCAGUGGGAUCAUUAAUAUGAUCGGUAGGGGAGCAUUCCAGUCAGCGUCGAAGGCGUACCGUGAGGUAUUCUGGAGCGUCUGGAAAAGCAAAUGUAGGUAUAAGUAACGAUAAAGGGGGCGGGAAACCCCCUCGCCGAAAGACUAAGGUUUCCUGAUCAACGCUAAUCGGAUCAGGGUCAGUCGGGUCCUAAGGCUCAGCCGAACGGCGAUGCCGAUGGCAGAAACGGUUAAUAUUCCGUUACUACCUUCAGGAGUGACGUGGAGACGCAGUAGUGACAGUGCCGCCAUCUGACGGAAUAGAUGGUUGAAGGGUGUAGGAGUCGAUCAUGGCAGGCAAAUCCACCAUGAGAUCCGAACCUGAUAGUAUGCCGCGUCCUUCGGGACAAGGCAAUAGUGCGCGUAAGCAUGCUGCCGAGAAAAUCCGCUAAACUUAAUCCUGCAGGUACCCGUACCGCAAACGGACACACGUAGUCGGGAUGAAUAUUCUAAGGCGCUUGAGUGAUUCACGGUUAAGGAACUAGGCAAACUGACCCUGUAACUUCGGGAUAAAGGGUCCCUACCCUUUUAUGGGAGGGCGCAGAGAAUCGGUCCAGGCAACUGUUUAACAAAAACACAGGGCUGUGCCAAAUCGAAAGAUCCAGUAUACAGCCUGACACCUGCCCGGUGCUGGAAGGUUAAGAGGAGAUGUCAUCGAUAAGAGAAGC
rnacentral:rRNA from 1 species